rnacentral:lncRNA from 1 species
AACAUGCCUUAAUUACAUUUAAUGCCUUAUAUAAUUUUUAGAAUUAAGCAUUGUUUUAGAUAGUCCAAUAGGAUUCAUAACAUAGGCUGUAUAAAAUUAGCCUCCACCUUCACUAUCAAGCACAAGUUAAUGGGAUGAAAACAUUUUCAGUCUCUCUCUGAGGUCUGUUGCAGAAAAGCAGGGGUAAAGAGACCAUUAGCAUUAGCAGUAACAGACAUAUUGCUUUAUUGAUCCCUUAGCCUCUAGAGUUUUUCAAAGAGAAAAUGUUCAACUUAGAUCCUUUUUCCCUGAAUUAGAGCAUCUCUGGGGAACAGAGGCCAGAGAUGUAUGGUUUGGUCAGAAAGAAGGGGUUUAUAGGGCCACAUUUUAAGAUCUACUGUGCCAUCAGACAGACUCUGGCUAAAUUGCAUUUGCAUAUUGAUUCUAUGAUUUAAUUUUUUAAAGUAUGUGUUUUUAAAAUGUUAUCAAAAUAAUUCAUUAGAAGCAAGAUUUGGUAGAGUCUGGCUUGCCUGUUUUGUGUAUAAUAAAGUAGGUACCUUAAGAUACAUAACACCACCUCAUUUUCUGGGCAUUAUUUCCUAACUUUUAAUGUUUAAGCUUUUUGACCAGUUGUUUUGUAUUUCAGAUUUCAAUCUGGAUACAAAGUGAGGUGAACAAA